rnacentral:rRNA from 2 species
GGAAGGAGAAGUCGUAACAAGGUUACCGUAGGUGAACCUGCGGUAGGAUCAUUA